rnacentral:rRNA from 1 species
GGUUAAGCGACUAAGCGUACACGGUGGAUGCCCUGGCAGUCAGAGGCGAUGAAGGACGUGCUAAUCUGCGAAAAGCGUCGGUAAGGUGAUAUGAACCGUUAUAACCGGCGAUGUCCGAAUGGGGAAACCCAGUGCAAUUCGUUGCACUAUCGUUAACUGAAUACAUAGGUUAACGAGGCGAACCGGGGGAACUGAAACAUCUAAGUACCCCGAGGAAAAGAAAUCAACCGAGAUUCCCCCAGUAGCGGCGAGCGAACGGGGAGCAGCCCAGAGUCUGAAUCAGCUUGUGUGUUAGUGGAACGGUCUGGAAAGUCCGACGGUACAGGGUGAUAGUCCCGUACACCAAAAUGCACAGGUUGUGAACUCGAAGAGUAGGGCGGGACACGUGGUAUCCUGUCUGAAUAUGGGGGGACCAUCCUCCAAGGCUAAAUACUCCUGACUGACCGAUAGUGAACCAGUACCGUGAGGGAAAGGCGAAAAGAACCCCGGCGAGGGGAGUGAAAAAGAACCUGAAACCGUGUACGUACAAGCAGUGGGAGCACCUUCGGGUGUGACUGCGUACCUUUUGUAUAAUGGGUCAGCGACUUAUAUUCUGUAGCAAGGUUAACCGUAUAGGGGAGCCGCAGGGAAACCGAGUCUUAACUGGGCGUUAAGUUGCAGGGUAUAGACCCGAAACCCGGUGAUCUAGCCAUGGGCAGGUUGAAGGUUGGGUAACACUAACUGGAGGACCGAACCGACUAAUGUUGAAAAAUUAGCGGAUGACUUGUGGCUGGGGGUGAAAGGCCAAUCAAACCGGGAGAUAGCUGGUUCUCCCCGAAAGCUAUUUAGGUAGCGCCUCGUGAACUCAUCUUCGGGGGUAGAGCACUGUUUCGGCUAGGGGGUCAUCCCGACUUACCAACCCGAUGCAAACUACGAAUACCGAAGAAUGUUAUCACGGGAGACACACGGCGGGUGCUAACGUCCGUCGUGAAGAGGGAAACAACCCAGACCGCCAGCUAAGGUCCCAAAGUCAUGGUUAAGUGGGAAACGAUGUGGGAAGGCACAGACAGCCAGGAUGUUGGCUUAGAAGCAGCCAUCAUUUAAAGAAAGCGUAAUAGCUCACUGGUCGAGUCGGCCUGCGCGGAAGAUGUAACGGGGCUAAACCAUGCACCGAAGCUGCGGCAGCGACACUAUGUGUUGUUGGGUAGGGGAGCG